rnacentral:rRNA from 1 species
AGAGUUUGAUCCUGGCUCAGGACGAACGCUGGCGGCGUGCCUAACACAUGCAAGUCGAGCGGAGACAGUGAGUAGCUUGCUACGAGCUGUUUUAGCGGCGGACGGGUGAGUAACGCGUGAGCAACCUUUCCCAGACAGGGGAAUAACACACCGAAAGGUGUACUAAUACCGCAUAAGACCACGGGAUCACAUGGUUCUGGGGUAAAAGAUUUAUCGGUUUGGGGUGGGCUCGCGUCCGAUUAGGUAGUUGGUGAGGUAACGGCCCACCAAGCCGACGAUCGGUAGCCGACCUGAGAGGGUGAUCGGCCACAUUGGGACUGAGACACGGCCCAAACUCCUACGGGAGGCAGCAGUGGGGAAUAUUGCACAAUGGGGGAAACCCUGAUGCAGCGACGCCGCGUGAAGGAAGAAGUAUCUCGGUAUGUAAACUUCUAUCAGCAGGGAAGAUAGUGACGGUACCUGACUAAGAAGCCCCGGCUAACUACGUGCCAGCAGCCGCGGUAAUACGUAGGGGGCAAGCGUUGUCCGGAAUAAUUGGGCGUAAAGGGCGCGUAGGCGGCUCGGUAAGUCUGGAGUGAAAGUCCUGCUUUUAAGGUGGGAAUUGCUUUGGAUACUGUCGGGCUUGAGUGCAGGAGAGGUUAGUGGAAUUCCCAGUGUAGCGGUGAAAUGCGUAGAGAUUGGGAGGAACACCAGUGGCGAAGGCGACUAACUGGACUGUAACUGACGCUGAGGCGCGAAAGUGUGGGGAGCAAACAGGAUUAGAUACCCUGGUAGUCCACACUGUAAACGAUGAAUGCUAGGUGUAGGGGGUAUCGACCCCUUCUGUGCCGCAGUCAACACAAUAAGCAUUCCGCCUGGGGAGUACGGCCGCAAGGUUGAAACUCAAAGGAAUUGACGGGGGCCCGCAC